rnacentral:rRNA from 1 species
GACGAACGCUGGCGGCGUGCCUAAUACAUGCAAGUCGAACGAGAGCGACCGGUGCUUGCACUGGUCAAUCUAGUGGCGAACGGGUGAGUAACACGUGGGUAACCUGCCCAUCAGAGGGGGAUAACAUCCGGAAACGGAUGCUAAAACCGCAUAGGUCUUCGAGCCGCAUGGCUUGAAGAGGAAAAGAGGCGCAAGCUUCUGCUGAUGGAUGGACCCGCGGUGUAUUAGCUAGUUGGUGAGGUAACGGCUCACCAAGGCCGUGAUGCAUAGCCGACCUGAGAGGGUGAUCGGCCACAUUGGGACUGAGACACGGCCCAAACUCCUACGGGAGGCAGCAGUAGGGAAUCUUCCGCAAUGGACGCAAGUCUGACGGAGCAACGCCGCGUGAGUGAAGAAGGUUUUCGGAUCGUAAAACUCUGUUGUUAGAGAAGAACAAGUGCUAGAGUAACUGUUAGCGCCUUGACGGUAUCUAACCAGAAAGCCACGGCUAACUACGUG